rnacentral:rRNA from 1 species
UCCGGUUGAUCCUGCCAGAGGUUACUGCUAUCGAGGUUCGACUAAGCCAUGCGAGUCGAAUGUAGCAAUACAUGGCGUACUGCUCAGUAACACGUGGACAACCUGCCCUUAGGUUGGGUAUAAACCCGGGAAACUGGGUAUAAUCCCCUAUAAGUCUCGGCUGCUGGAAUGCACCGAGAUUAAAAGCUCCGGCGCCUAAGGAUGGGUCUGCGGCCUAUCAGGUAGUAGUGGGUGUAGCGUACCUACUAGCCUACGACGGGUACGGGUUGUGAGAGCAAGAGCCCGGAGAUGGAUUCUGAGACACGAAUCCAGGCCCUACGGGGUGCAGCAGGCGCGAAAACUUUACAAUGCUGGCAACAGCGAUAAGGGAACCUCGAGUGCCAGGUUACAAAUCUGGCUGUCGAGAUGCCUAAAAAGCAUUUCAUAGCAAGGGCCGGGCAAGACCGGUGCCAGCCGCCGCGGUAACGCCGGCGGCUCGAGUGGUAACCGUUAUUAUUGGGUCUAAAGGGUCUGUAGCCGGCCGGAUAAGUCUCUUGAGAAAUCUGGCAGCUUAACUGUCAGGCUUUCAGGAGAUACUGUCUGGCUCGAGGCCGGGAGAGGUGAGAGGUACUUCAGGGGUAGGGGUGAAAUCUUGUAAUCCUUGAAGGACCACCAGUGGCGAAAGCGUCUCACCAGAACGGACCUGACGGCAAGGGACGAAAGCUAGGGGGCACGAACCGGGAUUAGAUACCCGGGGUAGUCCUAGCCGUAAACGAUACUCGCUAGGUGUCGGCCACGGUGCGACCGUUGUCGGUGCCGUAGGGAAGCCGUGAAGCGAGCCACCUGGGAAGUACGGCCGCAAGGCUGAAACUUAAAGGAAUUGGCGGGGGAGCACCACAACGGGUGGAGCUUGCGGUUUAAUUGGAUUCAACGCCGGAAAUCUUACCGGGACCGACAGCAAUAUGAAGGCCAGGCUGAAGACUUUGCCGGAUUAGCUGAGAGGUGGUGCAUGGCCGUCGUCAGUUCGUACUGUGAAGCAUCCUGUUAAGUCAGGUAACGAGCGAGACCCA